CAGGACUAUAUUCACUUUUUCUUUUAUGGCUUACCUGAGGGUUUUUACCUUCUGCCCCCAAGGAAGUUCAGCCUCUCUUCCUUGGGAAGCUUCAGUAUCCGGCCCUGUGCAAAGGUGUCCCCCUGAAGAUACCCCCUUAGUGACCGGGGGUUCUACUUGCAGUGACCCUAGGGGUAGCAAGAGAAAAAAUGCCAAAUAAAUCUGAUUCCCUGCAGUGACCAAGAGGUAGCAGGAAGUGGCGAGAAGACCUUAUCCUGGAUGGAUUUCUACAUAUGGAAGUACACCCCACAUGUAUGUAUGUACAAAUACUUUAUACAUAUAUUCUGUAUAUGUGGGUUUCUCCCCCCCCACCCACCUAUGAUUUCUUUUUACCUUGCUUCAAUCUUUUACAUGCCUUCUCGUGCAAGCUAUGUCCACGCGCACGCCAAAAUCGGCGCUUGGGUUCCGGCUGCUGUGGGAGUGCCUCCUGAUCGGAGGAUGCUUCCGGGUUUUUGCCGCGCAUGCGCAGUUAGCGAGCGGUGAAAUCGCUCGUUCUGAGCAUGCACGGAUAGGCGGUGACGUCACAUAUGACGUCACACGCCUAUUUAAGCGCCAAAAGUGUAUAAAUAGGUUACCUUAGGAUCUCAUUAGGUCUGUAGAGAACCUGUUUCAUACAAUUUUCUACUUUGAAUAGCAUUUAAUUAUUGCAAGAAAUAUUUAAAGGUAAGUUUUUCUUCUUAAAGGUAUAUACACAUUUUUUCAAUUUUUACAUUUUUCUUCUUCCUUUCUUUCUAUAACAAUAAAAUUACUUUUCUAGACUGUUCGGAAUCAUCUCCAAAAUGGAGAAAGACAAAAGGAGAUCAAUUUCUUCUGAUUCGGAC